rnacentral:rRNA from 1 species
CCUACGGGUGGCAGCAGUGAUGGAUAUUGGUCAAUGGGGGAAACCCUGAACCAGCAACGCCGCGUGAGGGAAGACGGUUUUCGGAUUGUACACCUCUGUCCUCUGUGAAGAUAAUGACGGUAGCAAAUGAGGAAUCUCCGGCUAACUACGUGCCAGCAGCGGCGGUAAUACGUAGGGAGCAAUAGUUGUCCGGAGUUACUGGGUGUACAGGGUGCGUAGGCGGCCUUGCAAUUCAGAAGUGAAAUCCAUGGGCUUAACCCGGGAACUGCAUUUGACACUGUAGGGCUUGAGUGAAGUAGAGGCAGGCGGAAUUCCCGGUGUAGCGGUGAAAUGCGUAGAGAUCGGGAGGAACACCAGUGGAGAAGGAGGCCUGCUGGGCUUUAACUGACGCUGAAGCACGAAAGCGUGGGUAGCAAACAGGAUUAGAUACCCCAGUAGUC